rnacentral:rRNA from 1 species
UACGAAGGGGGCGAGCGUUGUUCGGAUUUACUGGGCGUAAAGGGCGCGUAGGCGGCCCUCCUUGUCGCGUGUGAAAGCCCCGGGCUCAACCUGGGAACAGCGCUUGAGACUGGCACGCUCGAGUUCGGGAGAGGAUGGUGGAAUUCCCAGUGUAGAGGUGAAAUUCGUAGAUAUUGGGAAGAACACCGAUGGCGAAGGCAGCCAUCUGGACCCGACACUGACGCUGAGGCGCGAAAGCGUGGGGAGCAAACAGG